rnacentral:rRNA from 1 species
UGCCAGCCGCCGCGGUAAUACGGAGGGGGUUAGCGUUGUUCGGAAUUACUGGGCGUAAAGCGCGCGUAGGCGGAUUGGAAAGUUGGGGGUGAAAUCUCGGGGCUCAACCCCGGAACUGCCUUUAAAACUACUAGUCUAGAGUUCGAGAAGGGUGAGUGGAAUUCCGAGUGUAGAGGUGAAAUUCGUAGAUAUUCGGAGGAACACCAGUGGCGAAGGCGGCUCACUGGCUCGAUACUGACGCUGAGGUGCGAAAGUGUGGGGAGCAAACAGGAUUAGAUA